rnacentral:misc_RNA from 1 species
ACAGCCCCUCACUGCCUCCUGUCUCCGCUUCAGAUGUUCUCAUUCACGGAAUGUUUACACAAAUGUCUCUCGACAAUUAACAACUAAUUAUCUGUAUCAGUUCUAAUCAAUCCAAAUAAAACGGAUCAAUUCUAAGCUCUUAAGACUUGCGACGGCAUCGAACGUCUAUGAAACGAGUCGCGUGUUCUUCUGAGGAUCUCCGAGGAAAAAAUGCCAAAACAUUCCAUUUUUUUUCUUCAAAAUUGAAAAUUGAGCAGAUCGCGCACCUGCUGGAGUGUAGUGCUGAAGGAACUCCGUGGUUACCUGGCCGGCCCAGCUCCCUCUCCCGACAGACCAGUGAUAUACUCCUGUGCAAUGGCCAUCGCUUUACAAUAAACCGCUUCUGAUCUCCGGGCUCAUCAGUGUCUUCCAAUGAGAGUGUUAGGCAUGUUGAAAAUCUUGUUUCAAACUGCAGGAGUCGGGACUCGAAUGUUUGUUUAUUUAGCUUUCAAGAUGAGCAAGCGCCAUUCAGAAUUGCCAUUAAUUAAUUUUAGUACACACAUGAAGAAAAAAUGUGCCUCGUUUGCUUUAGUUUCUGAUCAAAGGAAGAAUCGUGAACAUGGCGUAUCAUUGGUGUACAUGUCGACUAGGAUGGAUAACCGGAGCAGCUCAGGGAGCUCUCACUAACACUGGUUUUACGGACUGAACAUGCAUCCUUACUUGUCAGCCCCAGACCCCGAGCGACCCCGAGACACAGCGACUCCUAGCGGACAUUUAUACCAAUGUCCUUUAGAGGGAACAGUUCAAAACUAAUCGUAUUCAGUAUUCAGACACCAAAAAGUGCUUUCUCUAUCUUUAAAAGAAAUAAAUUUUGGGUUUCAUUUU